ACAAACUUGGUCAUUUAGAGGAAGUAAAAGUCGUAACAAGGUUUCCGUAGGUGAACCUGCGGAAGGAUCAUUAAAAAUUAAAAAGUCUGGUGAUUUUAAUCAAUCCCAACUUUUUGACCUUGCUUAUCUUAUUAUCAUGUUUCUUUGAUAGAUCAGUCUGUCAAGACGGUUGGACUCGUCUAACUCGUAUCUAUCAAAGACCAUUUUAAAAUUCUUUUAUAAUUGACCAGUCUAACAUCUUUUAAUUAAGAUUUUUAAAUCUCAAUUGAAUAUAAAACUUUCAACAACGGAUCUCUUGGUUCUGGCAUCGAUGAAGAACGCAGC
rnacentral:misc_RNA from 1 species